rnacentral:rRNA from 1 species
AUUGAACGCUGGCGGCAUGCCUUACACAUGCAAGUCGAACGGCAGCGGGGGAGAAGCUUGCUUUUCCUGCCGGCGAGUGGCGAACGGGUGAGUAAUACAUCGGAACGUGCCCUGUAGUGGGGGAUAACUAGUCGAAAGAUUAGCUAAUACCGCAUACGACCCGAGGGUGAAAGUGGGGGACCGCAAGGCCUCAUGUUAUAGGAGCGGCCGAUGUCUGAUUAGCUAGUUGGUGGGGUAAAGGCCUACCAAGGCGACGAUCAGUAGCUGGUCUGAGAGGACGAUCAGCCACACUGGGACUGAGACACGGCCCAGACUCCUACGGGAGGCAGCAGUGGGGAAUUUUGGACAAUGGGCGAAAGCCUGAUCCAGCAAUGCCGCGUGUGUGAAGAAGGCCUUCGGGUUGUAAAGCACUUUUGUCCGGAAAGAAAUGGCUCUGGUUAAUACCUGGGGUCGAUGACGGUACCGGAAGAAUAAGGUCCGGCUAACUACGUGCCAGCCGCCGCAGUAA